rnacentral:rRNA from 1 species
GAUGAACGCUGGCGGCGUGCCUAAUACAUGCAAGUCGAGCGAAUGGAUUAAGAGCUUGCUCUUAUGAAGUUAGCGGCGGACGGGUGAGUAACACGUGGGUAACCUGCCCAUAAGACUGGGAUAACUCCGGGAAACCGGGGCUAAUACCGGAUAACAUUUUGAACCGCAUGGUUCGAAAUUGAAAGGCGGCUUCGGCUGUCACUUAUGGAUGGACCCGCGUCGCAUUAGCUAGUUGGUGAGGUAACGGCUCACCAAGGCAACGAUGCGUAGCCGACCUGAGAGCGUGAUCGGGCACACUGGGACUGAGACACGGCCCAGACUCCUACGGGAGGCAGCAGUAGGGAAUCUUCCGCAAUGGACGAAAGUCGGACGGAGCAACGCCGCGUGAGUGAUGAAGGCUUUCGGGUCGUAAAACUCUGUUGUUAGGGAAGAACAAGUGCUAGUUGAAUAAGCUGGCACCUUGACGGUACCUAACCAGAAAGCCACGGCUAACUACGUGCCAGCCGCCGCGGUAA